rnacentral:rRNA from 1 species
GGCUUAGAAGCAGCCAUCCUUGAAAGAGUGCGUAAUAGCUCACUGGUCAAGUGAUUCUGCGCCGAUAAUGUAGCGGGGCUCAAGUACACCGCCGAAGUUAUGGCAAUCAGUCCUUGUGGCUGGUUGGGUAGGGGAGCGUCCUGCAUGAGGUGAAGCUGCCACGGGAGUGUGUGGUGGAUUGUGUGGGAGUGAGAAUGCAGGCAUGAGUAGCGAAUCACGGGUGAGAAACCCGUGCGCCGGAUGAUCAAGGGUUCCAGGGUCAAGUUAAUCUGCCCUGGGUUAGUCGGGGCCUAAGGCGAGGCCGACAGGCGUAGUCGAUGGAUAACGGGUUGAUAUUCCCGUACCAGUGAAGAACCGUCCAUACUGAUAUUGUGAUGCUAACCAUGCCGAACACAGUGUGCUGCUCUUUUGGGUGGUGUGUUGUGGGGUGUGUGGGACCCAGGCUUUGGAGGUAAGCGUGUUAACAGGUGUGACGCAGGAAGGUAGCCAAGCCACGCGGUGGUUGUCGUGGUCUAAGCGUGUAGGAUGGUUGGUUGUUAAAUGCGCCAGCUGUGUGUCUGAGACGUGAUGGGACCCCUGUUGUUGGGGGAUUUGGUGAUCCUAUGCUGUCGAGAAAAGCAUCGGCGUGAGGUUUGAGCUGCCCGUACCCGAAACCGACACAGGUGAUCAGGUAGAGAAUACUAAGGCGAUCGAGAGAAUCAUGGUUAAGGAACUCGGCAAAAUGCCCCCGUAACUUCGGGAGAAGGGGGGCCCUGAGCGUGAUCUGCCCGUGCGGUGGGGAGCGUGUAGGGGUCGCAGAGACCAGGGGGAAGCGACUGUUUAUCAAAAACACAGGUCCGUGCGAAGUCGUAAGACGAUGUAUACGGACUGACUCCUGCCCGGUGCUGGAAGGUUAAGAGGAUUGGUUAGCCCUUUUUGGGCGAAGCUGAGAAUUUAAGCCCCAGUAAACGGCGGUGGUAACUAUAACCAUCCUAAGGUAGCGAAAUUCCUUGUCGGGUAAGUUCCGACCUGCACGAAUGGAGUAACGACUUCCCUACUGUCUCAACCAUGAACUCGGUGAAAUUGCAGUACGAGUAAAGAUGCUCGUUUCGCGCAGCAGGACGGAAAGACCCCGUGACCUUUACUAUAGUUUGGUAUUGGUGUUUGGUUUGGCUUGUGUAGGAUAGGUGGGAGACUGUGAAGCAUGGACGCUAGUUUGUGUGGAGUCGUUGUUGAAAUACCACUCUGGUCAAUCUGGAUGUCUAACUUCGGGCCAUGAUCUGGUUCAGGGACAGUGCCUGAUGGGUAGUUUAACUGGGGCGGUUGCCUCCUAAAGUGUAACGGAGGCGCCCAAAGGUUCCCUCAGCCUGGUUGGCAAUCAGGUGUUGAGUGUAAGUGCACAAGGGAGCUUGACUGUGAGACUGGCAGGUCGAGCAGGGACGAAAGUCGGGACUAGUGAUCCGGCGGUACGUUGUGGAACGGCCGUCGCUCAACGGAUAAAAGGUACCUCGGGGAUAACAGGCUGAUCUUGCCCAAGAGUCCAUAUCGACGGCAUGGUUUGGCA